rnacentral:rRNA from 1 species
CAGUAGCCGCGGGAAUACGAAGGGUGCAAGCGUUAAUCGGAAUUACUGGGCGUAAAGCGUGCGUAGGCGGUUUGUUAAGUCUGUUGUGAAAUCCCCGGGCUCAACCUGGGAAUGGCAAUGGAUACUGGCAAGCUAGAGUGUGUCAGAGGAUGGUGGAAUUCCCGGUGUAGCGGUGAAAUGCGUAGAGAUCGGGAGGAACAUCAGUGGCGAAGGCGGCUUACUGGCUCAUACUGGACGCUGAGGUGCGAAAGCGUGGGGAGCAAACAGGAUUAGAUACCCCUGUAGUCCCUGUCUCUUAUAC